UGCAAGACCCUCAGCAGGAGCCAUAAUGAUGGGAGAUGGGAAACACUCGAUGUAGCGACGCAUGUGUGCUCUCGUUGGAUGAACUGCCCAGCAAGAUUACUGUCUGCAGAAACCAACCUGAAAGAAUGAUCAAUGCUUUGUGCUUUGUUUUCAUAAUAAAAAAGCAUUUAUUGGGUAUAAUA